CUAGCAGUAUCAGAGUUUGAUCCUGGCUCAGGAUGAACGCUAGCGGCAGGCCUAAUACAUGCAAGUCGAACGGGAUCCAGAUCAAAGCUUGCUUUGGUUUGGUGAGAGUGGCGCACGGGUGCGUUACGCGUGAGCAACCUACCCAUAUCUGGGGGAUAGCCCGGCGAAAGUCGGAUUAAUACCGCAUAAGAUUGCAGAAAGGCAUCUUUUAGUAAUUAAAGAUUUAUCGGAUAUGGAUGGGCUCGCGUGACAUUAGCUAGUUGGUAAGGUAACGGCUUACCAAGGCUACGAUGUCUAGGGGCUCUGAGAGGAGAAUCCCCCACACUGGUACUGAGACACGGACCAG
rnacentral:rRNA from 1 species